rfam:Fistulina hepatica ATCC 64428 unplaced genomic scaffold FISHEscaffold_4, whole genome shotgun sequence.
GGGCUCUUAGCUCAGGGGUAGAGCGCACGCUUCGCAUAGACGAAAUAUUUAAAUGCUCCUUGUGCGUGAGGUCGUGGGUUCGAUUCCCACAGUGUCCA